UCCAACUACCCCUUUUAGAAAUGAAGGAGAUAUUUAAAUUCGGAGGAAAUUGCUGCACAACAGCCAAGCUAAAAUAAACCAGUUAACACUCAUUUGGUGGAGCUCCAAAGGUGGGAAGUCUGAGGUCAAGGUGCUGGCGCCCGAGAGGAACCUUCCUGUUUCGUGGACGACUGGCAAACAAUGAGGGUGUCACUUUACCACAAGCCCCCUCCUGAUGAAGAACCCAGUCCUGUUGAUGAUGACAUCAGCUCAUGCAGGAAGACAGUCACCUGAGCAUCUUUAACAAGAGUUGUCAAAGCCAGCAGGGUGCCUGGGCGUGGGUGUCUAGUGGAAGACAAGUUCCUGUGAGAGGGGGCAAACCCGGAAGCCCAUAGUGAUGCCUCACAGGCAGGUGGGAGCAAGGAAAACAGCCAAAGAGACCUGGUGUCUCCAAGGCUCAGCACUCAGAAAAGAGGAGAGUCCAGGGACAUCGUAAAAUGUACCAAGAAGAGGCAGGAAAACCUCAUGAGAUUCAAAAGACAGAGUUUCCAGACCAGCACAAGGAAGACGAGUGGCCUGAACUGACCCUAAUAUUCAGCUCUCAUGCAGUUC